rnacentral:piRNA from 1 species
UCCCAAGCAAUAUUCACUAUCAACUUCAAAC